rnacentral:lncRNA from 1 species
GUUGGUACACAAAAAUUUAGUUUUAAUGGAAGACUACUAAUCCAAUGAAAUGUCACAUUUUAAGUGUUUAAAUACAUUAACUUUUAUUUUAGUGGAUAAUUACUCAUCAGUUGAGGUGCUCCUGAAUUGGAGGAAGAUUCUCAAAACAGAAUUUUUACAGAAAAAAUUCAAUAAAAUCGUUUCUCUCCCCUAUCUCAUGUAACCCCACGAUCUUUGUUUACUUUGAAAGUUGCUGACCUACAAAUUAAAGUAUUGCAUGUUGAUGUUUGAAUCAUCUACAGCAAACAAUAUUAUGUUUAGAUUUAGCAAAUACCAAUUUGUAUUAGUGCACGAUCUCUGGGAAUGAUUUAAAUAACCAGUGAAGGAUAUCCCUGCUUCUGCAUAGUGUGGCAUUCCAAGAAUGACGUCACUAUAAAUAUACAAUAUAGGUUGGAUAUAUUUAGAAUAUCUCGUCAUACUGAUUUUUCCGGAUUGUAAAAGAAACGUAAAUAGUGUAAAGGAGAGCUCAAGAUACGAUAAUUUCGUCAGAAACAGAAGGGAAAUGUGUAAAAAAGUGUUUAAAGUCAAACUAUUCAUUUCUGGGUCUCCUUCUCUUCAAUCUAAGUAAGAUUUGUUGGGGGGUUUUCCACACUAUAAAAACAAAAUGAAUGAUGUGAGGGAAUGUCACUCUGGUCAACCCCAUAGGGGAUUGACGGCUUGAAGCCGUCUUUCCCCAAAAAAAUGUACGCACGUGUCGAUGAUUCGUCUAUACGACUGGGAAGAAAGUUACGGAACUAUAGC